CACGUAGGGCGCAAGCGUUGUCCGGAAUUAUUGGGCGUAAAGAGCUCGUAGGCGGUCUGUUGCGUCCGCUGUGAAAACUCGGGGCUUAACCCCGAGCCUGCAGUGGAUACGGGCAGACUAGAGGUAGGUAGGGGAGAAUGGAAUUCCCGGUGUAGCGGUGAAAUGCGCAGAUAUCGGGAGGAACACCGAUGGCGAAGGCAGGUCUCUGGGCCACUACUGACGCUGAGAAGCGAAAGCAUGGGGAGCGAACAGG
rnacentral:rRNA from 1 species